AGACCAAACAUUGGCUUUGUAUUCUUGAUUUACUUAUCAAUGGGGAAGUUCUUUUAUGCUGUUGUUCCUGUUGCAUUCCUUGCACAUAUUUCUGAUUUCUUUUGAAUUCACGCCACCAUUAUAUUGAGAUAAAUGUUACAAGUGGUUUAUUAAAAAUCUUGAAAUAUAACUGUUUCAAUUUUUUCUUUGAUUCGACAUACUACAUUUUUUGUUUCAGGAAUAUAAUGACACGUUGUUGAUUACUUACCUUGCCAUGUUCACCAAUUGCUCGAGCACAAUGAAUGAGAUGGUAGAUAAGUUCAACACUGCAUAUGACAGGCAUAGUAGGAGAGGUGGACGAUCGGCUUUCAUCUGAAAGUACUUCUGGCAUCUCCUUGCGUCCUCGGUCUGCUUUUACAACAUUUACAAAUCAAGGAAUAACAUUUCCAAUUAAUCAAAACGAGUUGUGAAAGUACAGGAACCAAAUAUUUCUUGUUUCUUUGUUUCUAAUAGUGGCUAUGCCAUUACCGGAUUUCUUAUCAUUUUGCAGGUUUUUUUUUUUUUUUCUUUUCUUUGGAGGAAAUUGAAGAUAUGAUUUCAAGAUAGUACACACAUUUUGAUAAUCGUGAUGCAGAUCUUUUUGUUUGUUAUUGGCAUUCGCAAUAUGUUUUUAUGAAUUUAUCUGUGCUGCUAUGCUGUAUUCAUUGUGCUUCUUAGCGAGGACCUAUGCAAUUUCUUUUAAAGGAAUGAAGGUUCUGCUGCAGUUGGAGAAUUUCAUUUAUUGACAAACAGCAUGCGGUGAAAUAGAUUUCUUUUCGAAGGCACAGAUGCCUUG